GGUAAAUGAACCCACAUUCAGUUCAGUUCAAGGCUGACUUUUUCAACAAACCUGUUCAAACUGUAGUGAUCAGCUUGAAUACUUCUGAAUGAAAAUGAAGAUGUGGAUGAGAAAUGAUGUACAGCUUUAUCAGGUUUAUCCCAUUCAGGUUUGAUUGGAUGUACCAGAGCCAUAUUGAUAGCUGGAGGUUUGGAGAAGUAGAAGCAGCUUCAGAUCUAUGCUUCUUGCUGUGAUCGGACCACCCAGAGCACAUCAGUGAGUGGGAAUUUCCUCUGAAGUCUGUGGCAGACCUCUAGUUCUCAGAGUGAUGUGUCAUUGCACCUUGAGCCACCUCCCAUCUGGCCAGGCUGAAAAAAUAUCAGACAGCUAAUGGAAAGUGACUUAAUGUUUUCCAGGUUGCUGUUAGAAAUGAAGCAGCGAUGCUCUUAGCUGUGGUGAGAUUACAG
ensembl:lncRNA